GCCUGAGUGGAGUAGUAGUUAACUCGUCGCCCUUCCAAAUCUGGAGCAAGGCGGAAACUCGGGUGCAAAUCCCGGCUCUGGCA
rfam:Podospora anserina genomic DNA, chromosome 3.